rnacentral:rRNA from 1 species
GACGAACGCUGGCGGCGCGCUUAACACAUGCAAGUCGAACGGUGAACCGGGCUUCGGCCCGGGGAUCAGUGGCGAACGGGUGCGUAACACGUGGGCAACCUGCCCCUCACUCUGGGAUAACCCCGGGAAACCGGAGCUAAUACCGGAUACUCCGACCGGUCCGCAUGGUCCGAUCGGGAAAGGUCCGCCGGUGAGGGAUGGGCCCGCGGCCUAUCAGCUUGUUGGUGAGGUAACGGCUCACCAAGGCGACGACGGGUAGCUGGUCUGAGAGGACGACCAGCCACACUGGGACUGAGAUACGGCCCAGACUCCUACGGGAGGCAGCAGUGGGGAAUAUUGCACAAUGGGCGAAAGCCUGAUGCAGCGACGCCGCGUGGGGGAUGACGGCCUUCGGGUUGUAAACCCCUUUCAGUCGGGACGAAGCGAGUGUGACGGUACCGAUAGAAGAAGCACCGGCCAGCUACGUGCCAGCAGCCGCGGUAAGAC